AGAGUUUGAUCCUGGCUCAGGAUGAGCGUUGGCGGCGUGCCUAACACAUGCAAGUCGAACGGGAAGCUCGACUUCGGUUGAGUGGAGAGUGGCGCACGGGUGAGUAACACGUAACUGAUCUGCCCUAAAGAACGGGAUAACUAUUGGAAACAGUAGCUAAUACCGUAUAACCUCGCAUUGUUUAGAAAUUUGCGAGAAAAGCUCCGGCGCUUUAGGAUGAGGUUGCGUCCCAUCAGCUAGUUGGUAAGGUAACGGCUUACCAAGGCGACGACGGGUAGGGGACCUGAGAGGGUGACCCCCCACACUGGAACUGAGACACGGUCCAGACUCCUACGGGAGGCAGCAGUGAGGAAUAUUGCACAAUGGACGCAAGUCUGAUGCAGCGACGCCGCGUGGGCGAUGAAGGUUUUCGGAUCGUAAAGCCCUUUUCUAUGUGACGAGAACGGACGGUAGCAUAGGAAUAAGUGUCGGCUAACUACGUGCCAGCAGCCGCGGUAAAACGUAGGACGCAAACGUUAUCCGGAGUUACUGGGCGUAAAGCGCGAGCAGGCGGUUUGGUAAGUUACCUAUGAAAGCUCCCGGCUAAACUGGGAGAGGAUGGGUGAUACUGCUAGACUAGAGUGAGGAAGAGGGAAGUAGAAUUCCGGGUGUAGUGGUGAAAUGCGUAGAUAUCCGGAGGAAUACCAGUGGCGAAGGCGGCUUCCUGGUCCUCAACUGACGCUGAGACGCGAAAGCGUGGGUAGCGAACGGGAUUAGAAACCCCGGUAGUCCACGCCGUAAACGAUGUACAUUAAACGUUCGCAUGCGUGUAGUAUGUGAGUGUUGAAGCUAACGCGAUAAAUGUACCGCCUGGGGAGUACGGUCGCAAGGCUAAAACUCAAAGGAAUUGACGGGGGCCCGCACAAGCAGCGUAGCGUGUGGUUUAAUUCGAGUCUACGCGAAAAACCUUACCUGGGUUUGACAUGAUAGUAGUACGGAAGCGAAAGCGGAAGGACUCUUCGGAGAGCUAUCACAGGUGCUGCAUGGUUGUCGUCAGCUCGUGCCGUGAGGUGUUCGGUUAAGUCCGCAAACGAGCGCAACCCUCGGCGUUAGUUAUACGUGUCUAGCGCGACUGCCCGUGACAAACGGGAGGAAGGUGGGGAUGACGUCAAAUCAGCAUGGCCUUUAUAUCCAGGGCUACACACACGCUACAAUGGUCAGUACAAUGGGUCGCUAAGCCGCGAGGUGGAGCCAAUCCUACAAAGCUGAUCCCAGUUCGGAUUGCAGGCUGCAACUCGCCUGCAUGAAGUCGGAGUUGCUAGUAACCGCAUAUCAGCACGGUGCGGUGAAUACGUUCCCGGGCCUUGUACACACCGCCCGUCACGUCAUGGAAGUUGGUCACGCCUAAAGUCGGGAAGCUAACCUAACGGAGGCUACUGCCUAGGGCAGGAUUGAUGACUGGGACGAAGUCGUAACAAGGUA
rnacentral:rRNA from 1 species